rnacentral:rRNA from 1 species
GUGCCAGCAGCCGCGGUAAUACGUAGGGUGCAAGCGUUAUUCGGAAUUAUUGGGCGUAAAGCGCAUGUAGGUGGCUUCGUAAGUCUGAUGUGAAAUCCCUGGACUCAAUUCAGGAACUGCAUUGGAUACUGCGAGGCUAGAGUAGAGGAGGGGUAGGCGGAAUUCCAGGUGUAGAGGUGAAAUUCGUAGAUAUCUGGAGGAACAACAGUGGCGAAGGCGGCUUACUGGACUCUAACUGACACUGAGAUGCGAAAGUGUGGGGAGCAAACAGGAUUAGAUACCCUCGUAGUCC